UAUAUAUGUAUAAUGUACCCCCUGACUGAACUUGUAUUUCUUAUUAUUUAAAAAAAAAAUAUUAAAAAUAAUUUUAAAAGGACGCAGCUGUGCGGUUGAGAAACGACCGGAAACGACUUAUAUGUCGCAAGGCCAUCACGUGACCACAAUAUUUACCAGAAGACCGUUAUUUGCUCGAUUACCCUCAACUUUUUUGUCGCAAAUAACAUCAUUAAUAACCUGUAAAUAAUCAAAUUUGUACACAUUACGUUCCUCUUCACUUUGUAAUAGUAUGUUUUUGGUUUAAUAGUCGGCUUUUAGUUAGUUUUUCUGUCAGUUUGAUCGUCAAAAUCUUGUUAUCUACAGCCACACAUCCACUGUAUACCAAGUUAUGAUGAUCAAUUAUGAGAAUGCAAAAGGAUUGAUAGAUCAGUAAACAAACAACAAAAAGAUGGGUGCUCAUGGUGGCCUCCGAAUAAAUACAUGGACAGGCUGCUAAAGAGGGUCAGGAUGAUGGAGAUGCAAGAGUCAAAGACAGCACAGACCAAACACCAGGCCAGAAUUCUGCAUGAGUCAGAUUGAGUAAUUUUCACUCUAGAGACCCUGGGGUGACCACCAAGGACGAAUGCAAACUCCAGUGAGUGUCUCUAAGGUAGAUCCUAAUGCAGAUGGAUGGAAUGUUGAUCCGCCUAACAUGCAAGCUACAGAGGGCAUCCUUUAUUCAGUCCCUAAUGCAGAUGGUUGGAGUGUUGAUCUACCUAACAUGAGGGAGCACUCGUUUUGAGUCCUGAGACCCUGGGGUGACCACCGUGAACAAAUACAGAAGCACUCAAUUUGAGUCCUGAGACCCUGGGGUGACCACCGUGAACAAAUACAGACUGCAAUAGCAGUCUUGACGGUACUAGGAUGAAUGCAAAUAAAGACUAACCACCUGACAUCAGCUGUCCAGUCUCUUGUGGGAAGCAGGUGCUUGUUACCCCAAAUACGGAUGAAGAGUGACGAAGAGGAUGAUGACUUU